rnacentral:misc_RNA from 1 species
GUGAAUCAUCGAAUCUUUGAACGCACAUUGCGCCCGCCAGUAUUCUGGCGGGCAUGCCUGUCCGAGCGUCAUUUCAACCCUCGAACCCCUCCGGGGGGUCGGCGUUGGGGAUCGGCCACCCUCUAGCCAGGGCGGCCGUCUCCGAAAUACAGUGGCGGUCUCGCCGCAGCCUCUCCUGCGCAGUAGUUUGCACACUCGCAACGGGAGCGCGGCGCGUCCAAUGCCGUAAAACACCCCAAACUUCUGAAAUGUUGACCUCGGAUCAGGUAGGAAUACCCGCUGAACUUAAGCAUAUCAAUAAGCGGAGGA